rnacentral:rRNA from 1 species
GAGCGGCGAACGGGUGAGUAACACGUGAGUAACCUGCCCUCAACUUCGGGAUAAGCCUGGGAAACCGGGUCUAAUACCGGAUAGGACCUGAUCUGGCAUCGGAUCGGGUGGAAAGUUUUUUCGGUUGGGGAUGGGCUCGCGGCCUAUCAGCUUGUUGGUGGGGUAGUGGCCUACCAAGGCGACGACGGGUAGCCGGCCUGAGAGGGCGACCGGCCACACUGGGACUGAGACACGGCCCAGACUCCUACGGGAGGCAGCAGUGGGGAAUAUUGCGCAAUGGGCGGAAGCCUGACGCAGCGACGCCGCGUGGGGGAUGACGGCCUUCGGGUUGUAAACCUCUUUCAGCAGGGACGAAGUUGACGUGUACCUGCACAAGAAGCGCCGGCUAACUACGUGCCAGCAGCCGCGGUAAUACGUAGGGCGCAAGCGUUGUCCGGAAUUAUUGGGCGUAAAGAGCUCGUAGGUGGCUUGUCGCGUCUGCCGUGAAAGCCCAUGGCUUAACUGUGGGUCUGCGGUGGAUACGGGCUGGCUAGAGGUAGGUAGGGGCAAGCGGAAUUCCU